rnacentral:rRNA from 1 species
AACGCGAAGAACCUUACCAAGGUUUGACAUGGCCGGAAAACUCGCAGAGAUGCGGGGUCCUUCGGGGCCGGUCACAGGUGGUGCAUGGCUGUCGUCAGCUCGUGUCGUGAGAUGUUGGGUUAAGUCCCGCAACGAGCGCAACCCUCGUCCCAUGUUGCCAGCAUUCAGUUGGGGACUCAUGGGAGACUGCCGGGGUCAACUCGGAGGAAGGUGGGGAUGACGUCAAGUCCUCAUGCCCCUUAUGUCUUGGGCUGCAAACAUGCUACAAUGGCCAGUACAAAGGGCUGCGAGACCGUGAGGUGGAGCGAAUCCCAAAAAGCUGGUCUCAGUUCGGAUUGGGGUCUGCAACUCGACCCCAUGAAGUCGGAGUCGCUAGUAAUCGCAGAUCAGCAACGCUGCGGUGAAUACGUUCCCGGGCCUUGUACACACCGCUCGCGA